rnacentral:tRNA from 1 species
GGAAGGUAUAGCUCAGUGGUAGAGUGCGUGCUUAGCAUGCACGAGGUCCUGGGUUCAAUCCCCAGUACCUCUA